GAGGAAAGUCCGGACUCCACAGGGCAACGGUGGUUGCUAACAGCAACCCGGGGCGACCCGCGGGAACAGUGCCACAGAAAACAAACCGCCCGCCACGCGCGGGUAAGGGUGAAAAGGUGCGGUAAGAGCGCACCAGCACCCCAGGUGACUGGGGUGGCUAGGUAAACCCCACCGGGAGCAAGGUCAAGGUGCCCGCACGCGCGCCAUCCCAGAUGGUGCACAAGCGUGCGGCGUAGCUCUAGGGCUGCCCGCCCAACAAUGAGCAGGUAGGCCGCUUGAAGCCACCAGCAAUGGUGGGCUCAGAUGGAUGAUCGCCUCGUCCCACGCCUACUUCGCGUGCCCACGCGGUGCAGCGGAGUCGGCAGGGGAUAGGACAGAAUCCGGCUCA
rnacentral:RNase_P_RNA from 1 species